ACUUUGCAUCUGAAAUUUCUAAACGAGUAGCAGUGUUUAUUAAUAGUUCUAUUAAUAGUUAUUUUAGUUUCUGAAGUAUAAUUAUAUUGAUUUAUAUUUCAAAUUAUAUUGACUUUUUUGUUGUUGCUGAAAACACAUCAACACCAGUUAACAUGGAAGCCUUGACAAUGGCAUUGGCAGGUUUUCAUAUCACCAUGCCAGCUCAUGUCUGGAACUUUGAAGCACCGGUGGUGGCCAUGGAGGUGGAUGUCCCCGUCCCCUCCAGAAAAAGGAGGAGGGAGGAGGGGACGUGGGACAUCAGAAAGGACGCCACCGGCAGCAGAUCCUUCCUCCCUGCCAAGAGGCGAAAGAUGAGGGGAAUUUAGACCCCACAACAGGCAGAGGAGUCAGCAGGGCCUGGACAACACAACUACCUCACAUUACGGGACAAGGCCAUCAGAAGAUGCCCACUUCCACCUGUCCUACUGACAAAUUGGGCACAGAACAUCCGGAAAAGAAGAUCGGGCCCCGGACAUUAAAACCAACCCACCUCCCUUCGCACACACACGCACAUGCACUUUUUAAUAAAACAGUGUAAAACUGGAA